GCCGAUCACAAUUUGCUGCAAGUGAAAAUUUUCACAAGAUUUUGAAGGCUUUGAACUCAAUAGCACCUGAUUUGAUGGCUAAACCAACCUCAAGCGUGCCUGCAAAAAUAAGGGAAAGCACAAGAUUUUAUCCUUACUUCAAGGUAUGUGAUCAUUAUCUAAUUAUAAGAGAAUUGUAAAUAUAAUCAUCUUUAUUAUAAUAAUAUUUUUUUUAUGGUUAUAUAUGAAUACACUUUUAGGAUUGCAUUGGAGCUAUUGAUGGUACGCAUAUUCCUGCAUUGGUAAGAGGACGAGAUGUAAGCAGUUAUCGUGAUCGUCAUGGAAGGAUAUCACAAAAUGUAUUAGCUGCUUGUAAUUUUGAUUUGGAGUUCAUGUACGUUCUCAGCGGGUGGGAGGGUUCAGCCCAUGAUUCCAAGUUGCUAAAUGAUGCUUUGAAAAGGAAGAAUGGACUAAAAGUGCCCCACGGUAAGUAAUUAAUUUUUAAAAUAUACUGAUGUUGUUUUUCUUUCACUUUCAUACUUAUUUUAUAUGUAUUUUAAAUUUAAUUAGGUAAAUAUUUUCUGGUGGAUUGCGGAUUUGCUAAUCGACGCAAAUUUUUAGCUCCACAUCGAGGUGUGCGAUAUCAUCUACAAGAUUUUGCAGGUCACGGUAAUGACCCUGAAAAUGAAAAAGAGUUAUUCAAUCUUCGGCAUGCGUCUUUAAGGAAUGUGGUUGAGAGAAUAUUUGGUAUUUUUAAAUCGCGUUUCACAAUUUUUAAGUCAGCACCUCCAUUUUUGUUUAAGACACAAGCAGAACUUGUGUUGGCAUGUGCAGCACUUCAUAACUUUCUUCGCAAAGAAUGUCGUUCCGAUGAAUUUCCAAUUGAACCUUCUAACGAGUCUUCAUCUUCAUCUUCAAUGUUACCUAUUCAUGAAGACAAUAAUGAUGAACUCAAUGUUCAAACACAAGAGCAAGAACGAGAAGAUGCUAAUAUAUGGAGGACUAAUUUAGGUUUAGAUAUGUGGAGAGAUGUACAAGGAAUACCGUGAUACUACUCUAAACGGUGAUUCAGUGAAUCACAUUUCCCUUUUCAUAUUGGGAGAUGCUAAUAUCUAAAGAUAACCUUGUUUUAUCUUUUUGUUAUGCAGUUAUUUGUUUUUCUCUUUUUGAUGUACCGGUACAAGCUCGAUUUUGAAUCUAGAGAUCACUUUGUUUCGGAAAAAAAAAAUUAUUUGUUUACUAUUUCUAUCAUUCACGGUUGUAAGUUUGUUCUUUUUCCGCUAAAGUUCAUUGAAUCCUUUGAAAUAUUAAAAUCUCAUAAAAUCCUUUGAAAUCCUUAAAAUUCAGUGUGAUAAAUCCCAUAAAAUCCUUUGAAAUCCUUAAAAGUCAGUAUGAUAAAUCCCUUAAAGUCUUUUAAAAUCUCACAGAAUCAAUACAAUCCCACAAAGUCUUUUAAAAUCUUAAAGACUUUUUUUGUUAAAAAAGUCUUUUAAAAUCCUAAUCCAAUACACCCCCCUUAGUGACUUGCAAAUAGAGAGAAAAUCAUGACGAGUGAAGGAAGUUUUGUGCAGCCUGCAAUUCCCCGCUUCGAUGGUCAUUACGAUCAUUGGAGCAUGUUGAUGGAGAAUUUUCUAAGAUCCAAAGAAUAUUGGAGCUUAGUAGAGACUGGUUAUGCAGAACCAGAACAAGCUGUGACAGAUGCAGAAAGAAAAAGGCUAGAUGAGUUGAAGUUGAAGGACUUGAAAUGCAAGAACUAUUUGUUCCAGGCCAUAGAUCGUACCAUCCUGGAGACAAUUCUUCAGAAGAACACUUCAAAACAAAUUUGAGACUCUAUGAAGAAAAAGUAAGAAGGAAAUGCAAGAGUAAAGCGGUUACACCUUCAAGCUCUUCGCAAAGAGUUUGAGACAUUGGAGAUGAAAUCUGGUGAGAAUGUUUCUGAUUAUUUCUCCAGAGUCAUGUCAGUAGCCAAUAGAAUGAAGGUGUAUGGUGAACAAUUGGUAGAUACUACAAUUGUGGAGAAAAUACUUCGAUCCUUAACAGAGAAAUACAAUUACAUUGUUUGCUCUAUUGAGGAGUCGAAGGAUAUUGAUGUUAUGUCCGUCGAUGAGCUGCAAAGUUCAUUAAUUGUUCACGAGCAGAAGUUUCAUAAGCAUGAUACGGAAGAACAAGCCUUGAAGAUAACACAUGAGAAUAGAUCAGGAGGAGGAGGAAGAGGUCGUGGCCGAGGAUCAUUCAGAGGAAGAGGCAGAGGACGUCAAGCCUUCGACAGGUCCAUCGUUGAGUGCUACAAAUGUCACAAGCUUGGACACUUUCAAUAUGAGUGUCCUAGUUUAGGCAAAGAAGCUAAUUAUGCUGAGCUUGAUAAUAAUGAAGAAAUGUUGCUGAUGUCAUAUGUGGAUCAUAAUGAAGCAAAAAGAGAGGAUGUGUGGUUUCUGGAUUCAGGAUGCAGCAAUCAUAUGUGCGGAGACAAAACGUUGUUUAGUGAUCUAAACGAAAGCUUUACACAAAUGGUGAAAUUGGGAAAUAAUUCAAGCAUGUCAGUAAGAGGAAAAGGAAAUGUAAGGCUGUUAGUAAGCGGUGUUGUUCAUGUAGUCACAGAGGUGUUUUAUGUGCCGGAGUUAAGGAAUAACUUAUUGAGCAUUGGUCAGCUACAACAAAAAGGAUUAUCAAUUGUUAUUCAAAAUGAUAAGUGUCGAAUUUACCAUCCGGUGAAAGGAUUAAUUAUCCAAACAGAAAUGACAUCUAAUAGGAUGUUUUUUCUGUUAGCUAUGUAUCAACCAAGAAGGGAAGCUUGUUUCCAUACAACCUCUCAAGAAUUGUCUCACCUCUGGCACCGUAGAUUUGGACAUUUGAGCUAUAAAGGCCUAAGAACACUCCAAUUCAAGAAAAUGGUUCAUGGUCUGCCUCAAUUCUCUGCUUCCUCGACAAUAUGCACAUCAUGUAUGGUAGGAAAGCAACACCGUAAUCCGUUUCCAAAGAAAAGUCAUUGGAGAGCAUCACAAAAGCUUCAACUAAUUCAUGCUAACUUGUGCGGUCCGAUCACUCCCAUAUCAAAUGGCAGCAAAAGGUACUUAAUCAGUUUUAUUGAUGACUUUACUCGAAAAGUUUGGAUUUAUUUUUUGGUAGAGAAAUCUGAUGCAUUCAAUACUUUUAAACAUUUUAAAAGUCUUGUUGAGAAAGAAACUGAGAGUUGCAUCAAGUGUCUACGUACUGAUCGAGGAGGGGAGUUCACCUCAAAUGAAUUUAACUUGUUUUGUAAAGAAAACGGGAUCAGGAGGCAGUUGACGGCUGCAUACACUCCACAACAAAAUGGUGUUGCGGAAAGAAAAAAUAGAACUGUUAUGAAUAUGGUGAGGAGCUUGCUAGCAGAGAAAAAUAUUCCUAAGAAUUUUUGGCCAGAAGCUGUGAAUUGGGCUGUUCAUGUUUUAAAUCGCAGUCCUACCUUAGCUGUAAAACACAUGACUCCAGAAGAGGCUUGGAGUGGAAUUAAGCCUUCUGUUGAACAUUUCCGUGUUUUUGGAUGUGUCUCACAUGUACAUGUACCUGACACCAAGAGAAAAAAAUUAGAAGACAAAAGUUUUACUUGUGUGCUGUUGGGAAUUAGCGAAGAAUCCAAAGCCUAUAAGCUUUAUGAUCCAAUAUCAAAAAGGAUAGUGGUUAGCCAAGAUGUUAAGUUUGAAGAAGAUAAAUCAUGGGACUGGAACAAUAGUGACAAGGAGUUAAUUGCAGCUGACUUAGAGUGGGGUGAAGAUGAAGGAGAAGUUGUUAGAAACAAUGAAAAUCAUGAAGACGUUGAAGGUGAUAGUGAUGUUGAAGAAGUGGAGAUAAAUUCCUCAAGUGAUUUGAAUGAUGUAAGCUCACCUAGUUCGAGUGAAGGGAGACAUAGAAGAAGACCAGGUUGGAUGGAUGAUUAUGAGAGUGGAGAAGGUCUUUCUCAAGAAGAUGAGGCUAAUAUGGUGUUGUUUGCAACUGCUGAUCCUGUGCAUUUUGAAGAGGCGGUGAAAAGUCAGAAGUGGAGAGUAGCUAUGGAUGAUGAGAUUAAAGCAAUUGAAAAGAAUGAAACUUGGGUUUUGACUGAUCUUCCAGCACAUGCCAAAAAGAUUGGUGUCAAGUGGGUUUACAAAACAAAACUCAACGAAAAUGGAGAGCUAGACAAGUACAAAGCACGUCUGGUAGCUAAAGGCUAUGCACAACAGUAUGGAGUCGACUACACUGAAGUAUUUGCACCUGUGGCAAGAAUGGAUACAGUUCGAAUGAUUGUUGCUCUUGCUGCUCAAAGAGGCUGGGUAGUAUACCAACUAGAUGUAAAGUCAGCGUUUCUGCACGGUGAACUGAAUGAGGACGUGUUUGUGGAGCAGCCGAAGGGAUAUGAGAAGAAAGGUAGUCCAAACAAGGUCUAUAAGUUGAAAAAGGCUUUAUAUGGGCUUAAACAAGCUCCACGAUCCUAGUUCAGCCGAAUAGAAUCUUAUUUUGUGAAGGAAGGAUUUGAAAAAUGUCAUAGUGAGCACACUUUGUUUGUGAAAGUCAGUAAAGAAGGUAAAAUUCUGAUUGUUAGUAUUUAUGUUGACGAUCUUAUUUUUACAGGGAAUGAUGAGUCUAUGUUUGAAGAUUUUAAAAAUUCAAUGAUGCAUGAAUUUGAUAUGUCCGAUCUUGGAAGGAUGAGAUACUUUCUUGGUAUUGAAGUAUUGCAAAGAGAUGAUGGAAUUUAUAUUUGUCAAAGGAAGUAUGCCAUGAAAGUGUUGAGAAGAUUUGGAAUGGAAGAGAGCAAUUCUGUGCAUAAUCCUAUUGUCCCAGGAUUUCGAGUUUGCAAAGAUACUGAUGGAGUUAAGGUGGAUGCAACUUUCUUCAAACAAAUGGUAGGUAGCUUGAUGUACUUGACAGCUACUCGACCUGACUUAAUGUUUGUGGUUAGUCUCGUUAGUCGAUACAUGGAGCAGCCAACCGAGUUGCAUUUACAAGUAGUAAAAAGAGUGUUGAGGUAUUUGAAGGGUACAUCAGAUUUUGGAAUUUUCUACAAGAAGGGAGGGAGUGAUGAUUUGGUGGCUUAUGCUGAUAGUGAUUAUGCUGGUGAUUUAGAGGACAGAAAAAGUACAUCAGGAUAUGUUUUUUUGAUGAGCUCAGGUGUUGUUUCAUGGUCAUCUAAGAAGCAACCUAUUGUUACCCUUUCAACAACUGAAGCAGAGUUUGUGGCUGCUGCAUACUGUGCCAGUCAAGUUGUUUGGAUGAGGAGGAUCAUGGAAAAACUUGGUCACUCCCAAAGUGGCAGUACUGUCAUGUUUUGUGACAAUAGUUCGACAAUCAAACUGUCUAAGAAUCCUGUGUUACACGGUCGCUGCAAGCACAUAGAUGUUCGUUUCCAUUUCUUGCGUGAUCUUACAAAAGAUGGAAUUGUGGAGUUAGUUUUCUGUGGAACUAGAGAGCAAAUAGCAGAUGUGAUGACCAAACCUCUCAAGUUGGAUAUUUUUCUUAAGCUGCGAAGUUUGAUGGGAGUCUGUCAAAUUCCAGAAGUAAACUGACAGCUCAGUUUAGGGGAGGGAAUGAUGAGAUAUUUUAUAUUUUGCUUGAGUUUGUUUUUGUUAGAAUAAUCCCUAUUAACUAGGGAAGUAGCAGUAGGUUGUUAUUUGACUCAUUCUUAGUUUUGAUUGCCACUAUUAAGUUAAGCAUGUACGUGGCUUAGUUGUUGCUAUUUCUUAGGACUGUACUGGCUAUUUAAUAGCUACUAUUAUUUCCAUUCAAUAAAACAAGUCAUUCCCAACAGAACUUUCAUAUAAUCAAAGGCCUUUCCAUAUCAUGAAUAUUAAUCCUUUCCAUAUCAUGAAUUUCGGACAAAUAACAUGAAAAACAAAGCAAAUUUCUGAAACAUGUGCUGAAAUUCUUCAGACCAUGAACCCAACAUAUUACACCAAAUUACCUCCAUAAAAUUCACAAAAUCUAAAAGACAAUCACCUAUCAAUAGAUACAAACAAACUAAGUAAGGCCAUAACAACCAAAAUCUGAAUUGUAACAUCAAAGAAUUCACUCACAGUAUCAAAGAAGCUUUCAUCUUAUAUCAUUUGUAUCAAAGAAGCUUUCAUCUAUAUCAUUUUUAUCCAUAUCACGUAACAAAGAACUUUCCUAUAACAUGGAAUAAAACAACGAAUUAGGCAAAAACCAUUUAAACAUCACACCAAAUCACCAUAAUCAACAUGCAUGCAUGAGAAAGGGUCACAUUAUAACCUUAUUCCAACACACAAAAUCACAAAACAACAAAACAAACCAACAAACUCAUAAUCACAAAACAACAAAUCCAUAAACCCAAACCGAUUGGAUUAAAUCUAAUGCAAUUUUUAUUAGACUGUGAGAAGAGUGUCAUGGAUCAAAUUAGGUCUUCACUCAAAAUUCUUCAAUAUCAAGCAAAAAAAUUCAUUGGUGUUUUCUUAUGGCACUCUUAUCUCUUUCAAAUACACUAUUGAAUUUCAGAUUUUAUUUUAUGAAAAGCACAAGAUACUCCCUCUCCGCACAUUUUUUUUGGAUUUUACAAUCCAAAAGUAAAACGCGCGAGAAGCUUGGAGGUGACGAAAAAUUCGCAAAUUCAUUAUCAUAAAAUUUGUUUAGAAGUGUCUCUAAAAUUUCACAAAUUCAUUAUCAUAAAAAUCUCUCUAAAAUGAAAUAAAAUGAAAAAAAGGAUCAUGUGUCUCUAACCUGUUGCAUGACAAAGGGAGCUACAAAACCAUUGGUAUUCAUGUUACUGUGAAGAAGUGUUUCAUAAGGCACAAAAUUCAUCUCUUGUAAACAUUCAUAGCUAUCAUCAUCAUCAUCAUAAACCCUGUUAAUCCCAGAAGUUCCUUCACCAUCUUUUCCUCUACUAUUACUCCCCAUCAUAAACACAAACCAAGAAUUUUUAUAGUAAUAAUCACUUUUAUCCUUAGAAUCAAAUUAUCCAUCAAAGAAACAAAGUAAGCUAGAAGAAAAUAUCCAUAUUCAAGAAGUGAAACUGAAAAAAGACACCACCAAUCCAAAGAUGUUAACCCUAUGAUCCAAAAAAUGUAGGAAAAAAAAAAAUACCAAAAUCAAAUCCAGAGAACUGAAAAAAUAAUCCCUUUUAGGUUAAAAAAGCUACAACAAAAACCAUACAAUGAUCAUACCUUCUACAUUCUAUCUAUCAGAACCAAUUAUUCACGAAAUUUAUCCUUUUAAAAGGUGAUUACAUGAAAAUCCAAACACAAUCGAAAAAAUAACCAAAACAUAAGCAAAAUCCAGAAAAUCAAAACAACUUCUUUUAGAAACAUCCAACAAAGACAAAAACAACAUGGAUUAUUUCGAAAUCAAAACUUCCAAAACUGGAUUAUCUCCCUCAUUAGAAACCAAAAAUAAAAUUCUCCGUAAACAGAGGAAAGAAUUAUUCUCACAGUUAAAUCCAUUUAAUCAUAUUUGACAUCUUUGUCAAGAAAAGUAUAAAUCUCACAUUCUUUGAACAGUUUCGGAAACAAUUUACCUUAAUCACACAUUCCAAUACGAAAAAAAUUUGUAGCCCUGUGUAUGGCAGAUUUCUAAGUUGAAAAUUGAUAAUGAGCUGGGAAGCGUGGUUUACAGGAAGCAUUUCACAGACAGUGUCAAGGUGUCCUAAACCACAACUUUGGAACACUGAUAAGAUUCUUCAGUUGCAAACUAUACAACACUCGUUGGCAUACAAAUCCUGCAAAACAUGUGUGGGUGAAUUCUAGAAGGCCAUCAAUUUUUAAGUCAUCAAAUAAUCAAUUCAUGCCUCACCAAUUUUAGUCAAUUUCACAAACACUUUGUGUGCAGUUUACACCAAGUGAGAUUUAAUCUCAAAAGAUUCAAUUUUUUCACAAGUUACAUGUAUAGAAACAUCACAAACAAAAACAGAAUCACACCAAAAACAAAAUCACAAACAAUUUCCUAAUUGCAAAUCAGAUUCAAAACAACAUGAACACAAAAUAUAUACCUCUUUAUUCUUAUUCUCGGUCAUGAGCUUAAGCCUCAAAAUCUUCUCCUCUUGCUCCUUAUUCCGUGUGAAGAUAUCUUGAGAAUGAAUGAUUCAAACUCAUAGCUCCUGCAAUUGGAAUUUGCAGCUAUGUGCCUAUCAAAUGCAGUUAUCACCAACAAUUUCGGCUUUAGUAAAUGCAUCCACGUGUUUAUAAAAUGAAGUUAUCACAUACGCAACAUACGCAUCAAAUAGUGAAAGAAAUUAAUAUCAGGUUCAGUAAUAUAAAAAACUAAUCAAUAAAACUACAAAUUCAACACAAAAUAGUGAAAAGUAAAUAUGUAUACCUCUACAUGGUUGUGUUCUGCCUCAACAACUUUGUGAACCUACAACAUAAUAGAGAAAAAUACAAUUUAAAAUCUCAAAGUACAAAUAUCAAAUAUCAUAUAGCACAAAAAUAAGAGUACAAAGUUUCUUUCUAGAUUUGCCAUCAAUUUUUCAUAUUGAGACAUUUCCUCAAACAUAAUUUAAGGAAGCAAGUCCACAUACCUUUGAGAAAAUAAUUUGAAUUCAACUUGCAAUUUUCACCGUCUGAAUCAAAACAAACAACAAAACAACAACUUCAUCAACCCAAAAAAAAAAAAAAAAAUCAAAUUCACACAGCUCAUCAAAACCGAUACAAAUUGCCACUAAAAAACAGAAAAUGAAACCUUUUUUCACUCUAAGAACAACAACAGAAAUUUAAACAAACACAGUUUUUACAUUCAAUCAAAAUUUUCAAAUUACAAUUGAUGAACACAAAACCUAAACAAUAAACAACAAAACAAAUCAGUUUAAAUUGAAGCUGAAAAUCAGGGUUUCAAAACCAAAAAAAAACCUGAAAAUUGGUUUCAAAACCAAAUCCUAGGUUUAAAUUGAAAAGUUUAAGAAGAAACUCACCUGAUUGAAAGAUUGAAUGAAGGAUUUGAGAAGAAUUGAAGCUGCAUGCAAGAGGAAUGAAGGAGUUGAAAUGCGCAUGAAGUUGAUGUAUUUAUUAAAAAUAUGAAAAUAAAUUUAAAAUUUAACGGCGGAGAAGGUUGAAAGUUCGGUGC
rnacentral:lncRNA from 1 species